rnacentral:lncRNA from 1 species
CAGGUCCGGCUACUAUACUAUUAUGAGUACGAUCGCCUUCGUACUCAUAAGUUGUUUUCGAUGAUAGAUCUUCCGAAUCGACGAUCCACACCGUUAAACGUUAUCUAGAGCAUUUAAAACAUCUAGAAAUCAAAUUUCAUAAUUUUUCGACAUCAUUUACCUUACGAUCAAAAGCUCACAAAAUUGACAAUUUUUAACGGCCGGUAUGAAAUACUUGCUAGUUUAACGGUGCAAAAGAAUCCGAAUAGGUUGAAUUUUUUAUUGAAAAUUCUAUUCACUACCUAGAUAAAGAUCAAUAACUCUGAUAUUAAAUUGAAGGAUCCGAUCAUCCAUUUUUAAGACAUCGUUUGAUUUUGACCGUUCAUUUUAUGCCCGCUUUAUGGAUUUUAUUAUGAUUUCGAAAAAUUACGAAAUUUAUUUUCUAGAAGUUUCAAAUACUCUAGAUCAUAUUUAACGGAAUGGAUUGUCGAUUCGGAAGCUCCAUCAUCGAAAACAACUUAUGAGUA